GUUCCUGAGUAAUCCCGUGCAAAGUGCAAUUGAAAUUCCACAAAAAAUAUGGAGAUACAUCUGAAAGACAAAAGGAAUAAGCCCCCCGUGCUAUAAAUGAUGUUCCUGCCAAUCUGGGCUCAGCUUUGGAAGAUGGAUGCCUGGAUGCCCGCCUAUCCACGAGUCCAGGAGCGACUUGACAGCACAGGCUUCAUCACGGCGUCCUGACUUUCUGAGUCCGGGAUUAGGGAGUGCCUGGUCCUGUUAAUCCCCUUUUAUUCCCCUUACCCUCCGCCGGAUCCCGCUCCGGCUUUUAACUCUGUUUGUCUGUCAGGAAGGAUUACCCGGUCUUGGACUUUUGCUACACUCAUGGAUUUGCCUCGGACUCCCUUGGACUGUUUCCCUCGGCCACACCUCCCCCGAACACCAGCGCACCCUGGACACGCCCCCUGUUUUCCUUCCAGCCCCUUGCAUGCCUUUUACCCCGUGUUUCCCUCACUCCUCCCCUGACUGUGCUGUCUGCGUAGGGUCCUGAAAGAACGCUUCAUUACAGGCUACAGCGGAGAAUAUGUUUCUGGUCUAUGGGAGGGCUGAGGGCUGAAGGGAGGUUCGUCAAAGGAAGACUGAGAAUGGACUUGCCAGUAAGAAGAGGAAGCAGUUAAUGUGGUCAGUAUGUUGGCUGCUCAGAGCAGUGAAAACAAGCCCAGAGAGAGACAAACCGGCAGCUGCACAAACAGUGUGCUGCACACAGCAGAUAACUGCUGCAGUUCUCUCAGCGCGAAGAGGACUGCGCAGUGAUGACCCUUCUGCUUCUCCUGGCACAGCAACAAACAGAGGAGUUCACUCCCACCAGAUCAAAUGGCUUAAAUCACUGUCGCGCUCACUUUGAAGAGAGCUCAGACCACCAAAACAUACAAAUAAAUCUGUGCAGACUUCCAGUGAGGCUGACACAAAUUACACACUUCUUCCCCAAAGUAUUUACCUCCUUCCAAUGAAGUUCCAUUUUGCUGAAUUACCACUGAUGCAUACACAUUAUUUUAAUCAAAACUUCAGUACUCAAACUGAACAUUUCGAAGGGUGAUAGAAGUUAAGUGUCAUCAGAAACUGCCAAGAAACUAAAAGACGUUGAUUGCAAGCAAUUGCAUUCCAAUGACUCACUUUCCUUAGUUAACACUUGGUGGAUUCAGAUUUAGCCACAAUUACAGCUGCGAGUCAAAUGUUUCUGAACAGACACAAGUAGAAAAUCAAGUCAAGGUGCUCCAUCGAGAUUAGAUUUGGGUUAAAAGAAUCCAGUUGACAUGCCUUCCAUUUAUACGGUAUUUGAAAUUCAACACAUGGCAAAAUGUACUGGUCUUUUUGCGUUGAACUGCUAAAAGUUGGGGAAAGCAAUUUUUGACGUGUUGGAAAAUUAUAUUUGAUAAAUCAACUGAG